AAGUCGUAACAAGGUUUCCGUAGGUGAACCUGCGGAAGGAUCAUUACAAAUCAUUGUUGACCGUAAGGUCGACAUAUAUGUUCGGGGGCGUAAGCCUCUGUUACAUUUGCGCUUGCAUUGUUUGACAUAGUAAAUAUAUUUCCAAAAAGACAACUUUUAACAAUGGAUCUCUUGGCUCUU
rnacentral:misc_RNA from 1 species